UUGAACGCUGGCGGCAGGCCUAACACAUGCAAGUCGAACGGUAACAGGAAACAGCUUGCUGUUUCGCUGACGAGUGGCGGACGGGUGAGUAAUGUCUGGGAAACUGCCCGAUGGAGGGGGAUAACUACUGGAAACGGUAGCUAAUACCGCAUAACGUCGCAAGACCAAAGAGGGGGACCUUAGGGCCUCUUGCCAUCGGAUGUGCCCAGAUGGGAUUAGCUAGUAGGUGGGGUAAAGGCUCACCUAGGCGACGAUCCCUAGCUGGUCUGAGAGGAUGACCAGCCACACUGGAACUGAGACACGGUCCAGACUCCUACGGGAGGCAGCAGUGGGGAAUAUUGCACAAUGGGCGCAAGCCUGAUGCAGCCAUGCCGCGUGUAUGAAGAAGGCCUUCGGGUUGUAAAGUACUUUCAGCGGGGAGGAAGGGAGUAAAGUUAAUACCUUUGCUCAUUGACGUUACCCGCAGAAGAAGCACCGGCUAACUCCGUGCCAGCAGCCGCGGUAAUACGGAGGGUGCAAGCGUUAAUCGGAAUUACUGGGCGUAAAGCGCACGCAGGCGGUUUGUUAAGUCAGAUGUGAAAUCCCCGGGCUCAACCUGGGAACUGCAUCUGAUACUGGCAAGCUUGAGUCUCGUAGAGGGGGGUAGAAUUCCAGGUGUAGCGGUGAAAUGCGUAGGGAUCUGGAGGAAUACCGGUGGCGAAGGCGGCCCCCUGGACGAAGACUGACGCUCAGGUGCGAAAGCGUGGGGAGCAAACAGGAUUAGAUACCCUGGUAGUCCACGCCGUAAACGAUGUCGACUUGGAGGUUGUGCCCUUGAGGCGUGGCUUCCGGAGCUAACGCGUUAAGUCGACCGCCUGGGGAGUACGGCCGCAAGGUUAAAACUCAAAUGAAUUGACGGGGGCCCGCACAAGCGGUGGAGCAUGUGGUUUAAUUCGAUGCAACGCGAAGAACCUUACCUGGUCUUGACAUCCACGGAAGUUUUCAGAGAUGAGAAUGUGCCUUCGGGAACCGUGAGACAGGUGCUGCAUGGCUGUCGUCAGCUCGUGUUGUGAAAUGUUGGGUUAAGUCCCGCAACGAGCGCAACCCUUAUCCUUUGUUGCCAGCGGUCCGGCCGGGAACUCAAAGGAGACUGCCAGUGAUAAACUGGAGGAAGGUGGGGAUGACGUCAAGUCAUCAUGGCCCUUACGACCAGGGCUACACACGUGCUACAAUGGCGCAUACAAAGAGAAGCGACCUCGCGAGAGCAAGCGGACCUCAUAAAGUGCGUCGUAGUCCGGAUUGGAGUCUGCAACUCGACUCCAUGAAGUCGGAAUCGCUAGUAAUCGUGGAUCAGAAUGCCACGGUGAAUACGUUCCCGGGCCUUGUACACACCGCCCGUCACACCAUGGGAGUGGGUUGCAAAAGAAGUAGGUAGCUUAACCUUCGGGAGGGCGCUUACCACUUUGUGAUUCAUGACUGGGGUG
rnacentral:rRNA from 1 species